UACGGGGGGAGCAAGCGUUGUUCGGAUUUACUGGGCGUAAAGGGCGCGUAGGCGGUCGUGACAAGUCACUUGUGAAAUCUCCGGGCUUAACUCGGAGCGGUCAAGUGAUACUGUCGGACUAGAGUACAGAAGGGGCAACUGGAAUUCUCGGUGUAGCGGUGAAAUGCGUAGAUAUCGGGAGGAACACCGAUGGCGAAGGCAGCCUUCUGGGCCAACACUGACGCUCAUGCACGAAAGCGUGGGGAGCAAACAGG
rnacentral:rRNA from 1 species